AUUGAACGCUGGCGGCAUGCUUUACACAUGCAAGUCGAACGGUAACAGGUUAAGCUGACGAGUGGCGAACGGGUGAGUAAUGCAUCGGAACGUGCCCGGUCGUGGGGGAUAACGCAGCGAAAGCUGCGCUAAUACCGCAUACGAUCUGAGGAUGAAAGCGGGGGACCGUAAGGCCUCGCGCGAUCGGAGCGGCCGAUGGCAGAUUAGGUAGUUGGUGGGGUAAAGGCUCACCAAGCCAACGAUCUGUAGCUGGUCUGAGAGGACGACCAGCCACACUGGGACUGAGACACGGCCCAGACUCCUACGGGAGGCAGCAGUGGGGAAUUUUGGACAAUGGGCGAAAGCCUGAUCCAGCAAUGCCGCGUGCAGGAAGAAGGCCUUCGGGUUGUAAACUGCUCUUGUACGGAGCGAAAAGGUCUCCUCUAAUACAGGGGGCUCAUGACGGUACCGUAAGAAUAAGCACCGGCUAACUACGUGCCAGCCGCCGCAGUAA
rnacentral:rRNA from 1 species